AUGGGGACGGCGACGAUGGCCACGGCGUUGGGCGCGGCCAUGUUGCUCUACUUCGUGCUGAGCCGGAGGCUGGCGAAUCACGAGGAGGCCGCCGGUAGCUCCGGCGGGGGCGGAGGAGGGAAAAGGCGGAGGGGACGCGCGGCGCGGCAGCCAUCGCAGCCGCCUGCGACAUGGAUGGAGGCGGUGGGUACGCUCGCCGAGACGCUGCGAUUCACCUACUCGGAGACGCUCGGGAAGUGGCCCAUCGGGGACCUCGCCUUCGGGAUCAAGUACCUCAUGCGUCGCCAGGGCAAUCUACAUGUCGCCGGUGUAUAUGCUGGAAGCAAUUGCAUUGAACUUAAAGGACCUGAAGUCAUGGAAGAGUUGAUUGUUCUACGACGGCUAAUUGAUUUAUGCUUUCUUUUCUCUAAGAAAUCAUUCCCAGUUUUCCUAGAAUUGGCUGGAUUUUCACAAGUGGAUGUUCUCAUUGAGGAACCUAAAGCAGGGAUUUUAAAGCCAGCUCAUACAAUUCUGCGUGAUGAGUGCACAAAAUCCUUUCUUGUUUUGAUACGAGGCACUCAUAGCAUGAAAGACACACUAACUGCUGUUACUGGUGCUGUAGUACCAUUUCACCACUCAGUAUUAGAUGAGGGUGGUAUCAGCAAGUUAGUCUUAGGGUAUGCACACUGUGGGAUGGUUGCAGCAGCACGCUGGAUUGCAAGAGGUAUAACACCAUGCCUCCUUCAAGCCGUCACUCAGUGCCCAGAGUACCAAAUAAAGAUUGUUGGCCAUUCAUUGGGUGGUGGCACUGCUGCAUUACUGACUUACAUCUUAAGAGAACACACAGAGUUCUCCACAACAACUUGUGUUGCAUUUGCCCCAGCUUCAUGCAUGACAUGGGAAUUAGCAGAAUCAGGCAAGCACUUUGUAACCACGAUUGUUAAUGGUGCUGAUCUGGUUCCUACAGUAUCAACUGCGUCUAUUGAUGAUCUUCGUUCUGAGGUAACGGCAUCUUCAUGGCUGAAUGACUUGAGGGAUCAAAUACAGCAGACGCGUUUCCUGAAUGCCGUUUACCGGUCUGCUACCGCUUUAGGAACUCGCCUGCAGUCUUUCUCUGGUGCGAGAGCCAGGGUUGCUGGUGCUGGGGCACUACUAUGCCCUGUUUCAAGCAAAACCCUGGUUGUGAUGAAACAAGCACAGAAUGUAGCACAGGCUGUUGCAAGAAGUCGGUCAGCGCUGUCUUCAUGGGCAUGCAUGGGUGCACGCCGUCGACCUGUAGGCGUAAUAGCUGUAAGUCAGGAUGAAAUGACUGCAGAAACCCAUGUUAAAACCACAGUGGAUUCAGAGUCCUUUGUUGUAGAACAACAUGUCACAGAGGUCGUAGAGGAGCUGCAGUAUGCUGGAACUAGUAUUUCAGUUCACGAGGAAACAGAAGAAGAGGCUCUUAUGAGUGAGCAUGAAACUUCUAGGGAGCAUACAGAAGAAGAAAUAACUGACGGUGAGUUGUGGUUUGAGUUCGACAAAGACCGGGAUCGGCAAGCUGAAGUGGAAGCACGAACCCGGGCGGAAGAAGCAGCUGCUGCCAAGGAAAUAAUGGAGGAGGAAAGUGCUGUCCUAAAGAAUGUAGAGGAUAGGCAGUCCUUUUCAUCAGAUAGCCUCGAGAGGCAGCAAUUCUACCCCCCUGGUAGAAUCAUGCAUAUGGUUGCCAUGCCUCCUCCAGAUGCUGGUCCGGAUGAUCCUAUUGUCACUGAUGAGUGCACUGUUGGAUUAUACGGGACACCGAGACAUCUUUACAGCAAGAUCCGACUAUCUAAUACCAUGAUCAAUGACCAUUAUAUGCCAAUGUACAAGAAAAUGAUGGAAAUAUUGAUUGAGAAGUUUGCAAACAAUGAUGACAACUCUGGUGCAGAUUCUACAGUAGAAUAG
rnacentral:rRNA from 1 species